UCGUGGAUUGGGGGUUCACUUCUUCGAUGAGUUCAUUUUCUAUCCAUUUUAAGCUAUUGAUUAAAGCUUCAAUGCACAGUUGUCAUUUUAAAUUGGAGUUACCUUUCUCUUUUACCUCCUGGUUGAUUGUAGUGGAAUUUGUGACCCAUGAACAAUAAAUGCAGUUAUUUAGAUAACAAGCAAAGAGAAAAAAAAUGGAGAAAUGGACCAGUGCACGUACUGGAGUACAGUAUUUUCUUGAAGAUAAACAUACAGUACACCACACCAGCAAGGCCAGUGACAAGAUUGGAGCCAGAAGGGUACAUUAGGUUUAGGAACAGAUUCAGCCGGUUGAUGGAUGUUUUAUCACCAGAUGUUAUAUGCUGUACACAGUGAUGAUGCCAGCAUGACAGAUAUAAUUCCACUUGGUCGGGUACGGCCUUUAUUCAAA